ACGAAGGGAGCUAGCGUUGUUCGGAAUCACUGGGCGUAAAGCGCACGUAGGCGGAUGUGUCAGUCAGGGGUGAAAUCCCGGAGCUCAACUUCGGAACUGCCCUUGAUACAGCACGUCUUGAGUCCGAGAGAGGUGGAUGGAAUUCCUAGUGUAGAGGUGAAAUUCGUAGAUAUUAGGAAGAACACCGGUGGCGAAGGCGGUCCACUGGCUCGGUACUGACGCUGAGGUGCGAAAGCGUGGGGAGCAAACAGGA
rnacentral:rRNA from 1 species